UACGUAGGGGGCAAGCGUUGUCCGGAAUUAUUGGGCGUAAAGCGCGUGCAGGCGGUUAGGGAAGUUUGGUGUUUAAUUCCGGGGCUCAACCCCGGGUCGCACUGAAAACUGCUUAACUUGAGUGCGGGAGAGGAAAGUGGAAUUCCACGUGUAGCGGUGAAAUGCGUAGAGAUGUGGAGGAACACCAGUGGCGAAGGCGACUUUCUGGACCGUAACUGACGCUGAGGCGCGAAAGCCAGGGGAGCGAACGGG
rnacentral:rRNA from 1 species